UGGGGAAUAUUGCACAAUGGGCGCAAGCCUGAUGCAGCCAUGCCGCGUGUGUGAAGAAGGCCUUCGGGUUGUAAAGCACUUUCAGCGAGGAGGAAGGGGUUGAGUUUAAUACGCUCAAUCAUUGACGUUACUCGCAGAAGAAGCACCGGCUAACUCCGUGCCAGCAGCCGCGGUAAUACGGAGGGUGCAAGCGUUAAUCGGAAUUACUGGGCGUAAAGCGCACGCAGGCGGUUUGUUAAGUCAGAUGUGAAAUCCCCGCGCUUAACGUGGGAACUGCAUUUGAAACUGGCAAGCUAGAGUCUUGUAGAGGGGGGUAGAAUUCCAGGUGUAGCGGUGAAAUGCGUAGAGAUCUGGAGGAAUACCGGUGGCGAAGGCGGCCCCCUGGACAAAGACUGACGCUCAGGUGCGAAAGCGUGGGGAGCAAACA
rnacentral:rRNA from 1 species